GACGAACCGUGCGAACGUUAUUCGGAAUCACUGGGCUUAAAGCGCGUGUAGGCGGGCCGCCGCGUCGGCUGUUGAAAUCCCCCGGCUCAACCGGGGAACGGGCACCGAUACGGGCGGCCUCGAGGGGGGUAGGGGGGACUGGAACUUCCGGUGGAGCGGUGAAAUGCGCAGAUAUCAGGAGGAACACCGGUGGCGAAGGCGGGACUCUGGGCCGAUACUGACGCUGAGGAGCGAAAGCGUGGGGAGCGAACAGG
rnacentral:rRNA from 1 species